AAACACUUCAUCUGAUCUCAACAGCACAUGCUUGAAUGAUUUAAAUGUUGUAUUUCCAGUUGAGUCUGCUUUUUGUAUGCACUCGAGGUUCAACCUCUCUAUCAAUCAAAUGUGUAGCUGGCUGAUCUUUUGUAUGUCAUCCUGAUGCAAAGGUGUUUGAUGCCAUUGCAUUCUAAUGUUAUCACACCUGAACUCAGUGAGGCUCUGCAGAGGGAGGUAUGCACUACUAGUCAUACCAUAACAAUGAAAAAAUAACCUAUGUGCUUAUACUAUAUGAGCUAUAGAAUUUCACCUGAAAAUCAGUAAGCAAGUAUGCAUGAGGACAAUCUCCUCCAUUUCUAUCAGUUUAUCAAUGUGAUACUAUCCAUUGAAUGUUGUCAUAUAGGAUUCUGAUUUUUUUUUUUUUUCAAUUUGAUAAGCUCAGUUCUCAUGCGACAUCAACUUUGUAAAGUUGAAAUUCACCUCCUAGCAAAUUUUAUUGUACCGCUGAUUUUGUUGAUGGGACAUUGCGAAAUAACCAUGUAACAAAUUCAUCUUUCUGUUCUGCAGUCUGAGCACCUCAUCUUCUUAGCAUAAUUUUAUUAACAAGGAAAGUGUUGCUAGUUGCUUUCGUCUCCAAAGCUGAAGUGCACUUUCAUCUUUGUGUUCCUAACCACAAACAAGAAAAGUGUUGCUAGUUGCUUUCGUCUCCAAAGCCUGUUGUUUUCUUUUUCAUUGGCCAGCUGAUGAGGUUUUUGUUCAUUGCUGUCCAACUGCAAUUGGGGCAAAUGAUGCUUUGUGCAUUUGCACCUUAUCUUUCAUGGUGUAUACUGUGAUGCUCCGAUCUUAGUUAUCUUCAUUCAUUGAUAAUUAGUAAAUCCUAUCCUUCUUGUGUAGAUUCAACUCUUAUUUCAUAAAAUUCAGAUAGCAUCCCCAAACAUCACAGGAAGGAGAUGUGGGCAGGAAUGAGAUAUGUCAUGAGACGUUAUGGAAAGGCGUUCCAAAGUUCUUCGCCAUUGGUGCUUAUAAUGUG
rnacentral:lncRNA from 1 species